UUGAUUCAGCGUUCUUUUUUAGUAUCUUACACCUACAGAGGCCCAAAGUAGCAACAUGGCAUGGUAGUAGUAUCUCAGCUCAUGGGCCUUGAAUCUUGAAUUGAUGAGUUCUCAUUCGUGUGUGUCACUUGUACAAAUCAUCUUGUUUUUUUGCAGUUUCCCUCUACAGAACUGGUAUCAGCUCCCGGGGCCUGAAGCUCGUUGCUGGGGUUCUGUUCCACUCAAAACAGCCCAUUGCUCCC
rnacentral:lncRNA from 1 species